GCCUGUGCUCUUUGAGUAUACUUGUGUACUGAGGUUUCCCCAUUGGUGUUUUCCUAUAAUACUUGGCUUUACUUACAUAUAUUGUAGAAUUCAUUCCACAGACGAUAUGACUCUUUUGCACUAGCUCGUUUUCAUAUUGGGGAAAUUCAGCAGUCAGAAAACGGUCUUUUAUUUCCUGAAUGGAUCUAAAUAAGAUGGUUAACAUUUUCUAGAAUCAUAAGUGAACUUGUAAUACUACUCCUGAGUACUAUAUAACAAAUGCAAUUCUUUAUGUGAAUCAGGAGUCAGAACCCUAGCCUGUGGGAAGGAGGAUUGCAGAAAGCAGAUAACAAUUGAAACACUCAACAGAGCAUUCACUCCUUACAGAUACGUUCAAAGACUUCCUACUAUCUUUAAAAAGCCUGCAAUUGCUUUCAUAGCAGCAUCGUGUACCUUCUAUAUUUAAUUACCGGAAUCAAUUUAGUGGUUAAGAGACUUUUGCCCAGAAUUCUAAUGCUGGAACAUUUUUAUUCGCAAUCUAUCCCAUUUGUUUUAUUAUGAUGUUUCUUUAUUGUAGUAUCUUCAAGCAAUAAUUUAUCUAAGCAUGACCUUGGUUUAGAUUGAGGUAUGUAGCUUCAAUGUUACUAAAUAUAGUGUUUGGGG
rnacentral:lncRNA from 1 species